ACUAGCCUCUGCACCAUCGAGAUU
rnacentral:siRNA from 1 species